CCUACGGGAUGCACCAGUGGGGAAUAUUGCACAAUGGGCGCAAGCCUGAUGCAGCCAUGCCGCGUGUGUGAAGAAGGCCUUCGGGUUGUAAAGCACUUUCAGCGGGGAGGAAGGCGAUAAGGUUAAUAACCUUGUCGAUUGGCGUUACCCGCAGAAGAAGCACCGGCUAACUCCGUGCCAGCAGCCGCGGUAAUACGGAGGGUGCAAGCGUUAAUCGGAAUUACUGGGCGUAAAGCGCACGCAGGCGGUCUGUCAAGUCGGGUGUGAAAUCCCCGGGCUCAACCUGGGAACUGCGUUCGAAACUGGCAGGCUAGAGUCUUGUAGAGGGGGGUAGAAUUCCAGGUGUAGCGGUGAAAUGCGUAGAGAUCUGGAGGAAUACCGGUGGCGAAGGCGGCCCCCUGGACAAAGACUGACGCUCAGGUGCGAAAGCGUGGGGAGCAAACAGGAUUAGAUACCCUAGUAGU
rnacentral:rRNA from 1 species